UAGUUGUCGGUAGAAGAUGCAAAAUGAAAUAUUUUACAUAUGGGUGACCUUGAAACAGCUUCUCACAAUAAUUCAUUAAUUUAUUAUUGAUCAACAUUUCUACUUGAAAUUAAUAUAUUUUGAACUUAUCUAGGUUGCAUAUUAGAUCUAUAAUGACAGGGCUGUUCUGGACAUUGCCAAGACUUUGAGUGCUUGACCAUUAUUUUGUAAUGACACCUUAAUUUUAAGUUUGGAGCUUCCCCAGUUACUUUUCCAGCCACUCUUUACAAAUGAAUAGCAUUCUUUUGCAUCAAGCAAGGGCACUUCUUUUGCCGAACAUUUAAAGAGUUAGCAGACAUGAUAGCAGAAUUUUAUUUUUUUGCCCUUAUUGUCUGUGCAUGUGAGAGCAGUGAUACCAUCCCUGCAGCUAGAGAUAGUGGCUCUUACUCAAGCUGAAAUUUGUUGUGUCAGAGCUAAAUGCUCAAAACUCAACUUCAUCUAGAGAGCAGAGUAACUGUCUACAUAGCCCUUCAUGCUAGUGUUCACACAGUGCUAGUCUCCUCAAGCAUGAGGGAAUUACAAACCACAAUGCUGUUAUCAUUGACACAGAGACAAGUGAGCACCCUACUGUCUAUUGAAACACAGUAAGAACAGCCCGCUUCUGUGUUACUUCAGGUUGUUAAGCAUUCUCUGGUUAUUACUUAGAUGACAGAUCAUUUUUUAUCAGGAAAUGUAAACAUAUGCUUAAAUAGAUAUUCAUUGUUGCUGAUUUCUUUGAAAGUGGAGAAUUUAAAUAUUUAAGGUAAUGUAGAAAGACUGUUAAGCACAGAUUUUAUGCAGAAAAUAUUGAUUGAGAUAUAUUUUCUACUUGCUACAAGCUGUUGAUUUCAACCAGUCUGAAUAACAAAAGAUUAUUGGCCAACCUGGACUCCUAUGAUGACAUUUUGCACUUGUGGCAGAGAUCUUCCUGUACAGUAUCAUGGUUCAGCUAAUGGCAACAGUGUUACAUGCAGGCAAAAGAUGGGAAAAGUUACAAAAAUCAUCAAAAUGUUACCUAUCUUUCACCAAAGAUGUUUGAGUAAAGUUGUGUAAAAUUCUGAUCAUGUCAGAAAU